UCCUUCAGUCUGAAGGACAACUGGGGAGAGGUGUGCAAGCAAGGAGGAAUGGUUCUGAUGUGUUGCUUCAGCUUUAGAAGAGAGAAACCUCUGCAAAAGCCUUAGGACAAGUAUGGAUGUUGGAUCCUCUGAACAGGCAUGGCUCAGGAACUGAAGUGGUCAUCCAGGAAAGGCAAAAAAAUAACAUGUGAAGUGACCCACUGCAGAGUGAACUCCUGAAAUCCAAGGAAAUUGGCCCCAGCUUUCCCAGUUUGAUUCUUCCCUGGCUGCAGAGCUGCUGGGCCUGGUCAGGCUUUUUGGCAAUGCUAAUGAUGCCCAGUCUCUUCUGAAGGAGAAAAUGCAAUGGCAGGCUGUGGAGCCUCACCAGCCUGUGCCAAGGUUGUCAGUGCUGUGAGCCUUCAGGCUGAAGGAGAGUGUACAGAUGUGUACAUGCAUAGCCCAUCCUUCAGGAGAGAAACCACAGUGAGUACUGGUGGGAGAGAUGGCAGAUGCUCACAGAUUGAUGCUGACCACAGAGGUGCUAAUGCCUUGCUGUUACACCUUGAUCUUGUUGCUGUCUUUUGUGGUGGUUAAUAAAUACAAACCAUUUC